rnacentral:rRNA from 1 species
UACGUAGGCAGCAAGCGUUGUUCGGAGUCACUGGGCGUAAAGGGUGCGUAGGCGGCUCUUUAAGUUUGGUGUGAAAUCUCCCGGCUCAACUGGGGGGGUGCGCCGAAUACUGAGAGGCUAGAGUGUGGGAGAGGAAAGUGGAAUUCCUGGUGUAGCGGUGAAAUGCGUAGAUAUCAGGAGGAACACCGGUGGUGUAAACGGCUUUCUGGACCAUAACUGACGCUGAGGCACGAAAGCGUGGGUAGCAAACAGG